GUUCUGCUGGUGAAACAAUGUGUUCACAGAAAACCUGAAGAUCAAGAAGAAACCGAAGAUGACAUCAUCACUCAUGUCAAGUACAACAUCAAAACAUCCAGUCAUCAACAACAACCAAUCAGACGAAGCAGAGCAGAUCAAGAGGAAACUGGAGAAGAUGACAUCCUGACUCAUGUCAAGUACAACAUCAAAGCAUCCAGUCAUCAAAAACAACCAGACAGACGAAGCACAGAUGGGCGGAGGUGUGAGACGUAAAAACAGGAACCACCUCUAAAGUCUGCUGCCUGUCUGCAUCGCAAGAGUCAGCAAGAUUUUCUAAAGACACUACGUCCUUCCUCACAAGAAACCAUCCCGAGACCAUUUUUUUGUUUCUUUUUUUUAACUUCAUCUGUCUUCUGUUUUUAUGAUGGGAAUAACUCGUGUCUCAGACAGAAAACGACCCGGCUUACAUAUUUGUUUUACAUAUUUAACUACUUCAUACAAGGCAUCUUGUAGGAGGUAAUUUUUGUUCCUACCUAGUGGUUACAAAGGGACUGUUUUAUGGAGAGUAACGUAUCCUGUGUGCCAUGUGUGUCGAGGAGACGAUAGAGUAAAAGGUUGAGUGCACACCGUCCUGCCCUGUUGGUGAUUUUGUUUGUUUGUUUGUUUUAAAU
ensembl:lncRNA